rnacentral:rRNA from 1 species
AUGCAGUCGAACGCCCCGCAAGGGGAGUGGCAGACGGGUGAGUAACGCGUGGGAAUCUACCUAUCUCUACGGAACAACUCCGGGAAACUGGAGCUAAUACCGUAUACGCCCUACGGGGGAAAGAUUUAUCGGGGAUGGAUGAGCCCGCGUUGGAUUAGCUAGUUGGUGGGGUAAAGGCCUACCAAGGCGACGAUCCAUAGCUGGUCUGAGAGGAUGAUCAGCCACAUUGGGACUGAGACACGGCCCAAACUCCUACGGGAGGCAGCAGUGGGGAAUAUUGGACAAUGGGCGCAAGCCUGAUCCAGCCAUGCCGCGUGAGUGAUGAAGGCCCUAGGGUUGUAAAGCUCUUUCACCGGUGAAGAUAAUGACGGUAACCGGAGAAGAAGCCCCGGCUAACUUCGUGCCAGCAGCCGCGGUAAUACGAAGGGGGCUAGCGUUGUUCGGAAUUACUGGGCGUAAAGCGCACGUAGGCGGAUUGUUAAGUGAGGGGUGAAAUCCCAGGGCUCAACCCUGGAACUGCCUUUCAUACUGGCAAUCUUGAGUAUGGAAGAGGUGAGUGGAAUUCCGAGUGUAGAGGUGAAAUUCGUAGAUAUUCGGAGGAACACCAGUGGCGAAGGCGGCUCACUGGUCCAUUACUGACGCUGAGGUGCGAAAGCGUGGGGAGCAAA